rnacentral:ribozyme from 1 species
UAGAGGCACUUGAGAUUAUGACCGGCUUCGAGACCAAGAACAAGUACAGCAUCAUGGUACUUUUAUCUGUCCCCCACUCAAUCUGUUGCUGCCCCCCGUCUCUUCUUAACUGCUUUAUCUAACGACCUGUCACCUAGCGCGUUUUCUUGGGCACUUCUUUC